rfam:Triticum urartu cultivar G1812 contig618910, whole genome shotgun sequence.
AAAGUACUCCCUCCGUCCCAAAAUUCUUGUCUUAGAUUUGUCUAGAUACGGAUGUAUCAAGUCACAUUUUAGUAUUAGAUACAUCCGUAUCUAGACAAAUCUAAGACAAGAAAUUUGGGACAGAGGGAUUAGUUG